UGACUAGAUAAGGCCAAAGGUCCUUUUAAACUCCUAUAUAUUGGCUCGAGGGCCAAGGGCUACAUAUGCUUUGGUCAACUUUUUUGAUCCAUUCAAACCCUCACAUAUGAAAGAAACAGUAUGAUGCGGAACCUAGGACCAACAUAUGAUCAAAAACCCCGCCACACAACUUGAUAAAGAACAAGACAAAGAUAUCUUCCAGAAGGUUGCUCUACUACACCCCUAACCAAUGAAUGUGAUUAGAAACAUAGAUAAUCAAGCGAAAAUUGCUCUAUCACACCCCUAACCAACCAAUGUAAUCAGAAACAUAGAUAAUCAAGCGAAGGUUGCUCUACCACAUCCCUAACCAACCAAUGUGAUUAGAAACAUAGAUAAUCAAGCGAUUCUAGCUUCGAGAAUGCCAUAAGAAAUUCUUGAUAAGUUAACUAAGCAUGGAGGAGAUCCAUAUUAGAACACCACAAAGUUAAACCUCGAUAAGUUGCUAAAUAAUGUAAAAGAACCAAAUAUUAUUCAUAAAAUCAUCUUUAUUCAUUGGCUUCCUAUGGCUGUCACCUUAAGAGUGUUUUUAUAGCCUUCAAAACCUAAUUCUAUUGUAGGAAGGUGUAAUUACAAUAUAGGAAGGAUAUCUAGUCAAAUAGUCAAACCUGGAUUACAUUAUCAUUUUCCUAAAUUAUCUUGGAGAAAUCUCCUUCCUAAAUGGACUGUACGAAUUUGGCUUCUAAUAUAGGCCAAAUUAAUUUAAAACAAAUCCCACAAAAUACUAAAAUACCAAAAUAAUAAAAUUGGUCUAAAUGCAAUUUGGCCAUACAUGCAUUAUGCGAUCUGAAAUUGCGUUGUGCGUCCACAUGUGUUGAAGAGAGUGUGACUUGUUUCCUUAUUCUCCCAUGCUUCCCAAAUAUAGUUCUCAUCUCGUAAGCCUUGAAUUAAGCGAUGGUAACUUGAUUUGUCAUAAUUUGGAGUUUCCCAUUUUAAAUCUUUGAAGCAUCGUAUUAUUUCCUUGCUUGUAUCAUUCUCUCCUUCUUCGAAAAGAUUCGUCCUCGAAUCUUCAACCAUAAUGACAAGAAAAGAAUCGACAGACAUGAGAUCUUCUUUGAAUUCAAUAUGAGAUUUUGCGAAUAAAACACUAAACUUUGACGUCUCUCCUUUUUUUUCUUCUUUUUUUUAAAUCAAACAACUGAAACGAUUUUUUUCACUCUUUUUUUAUCACACUUUUUUUAAAAAAAAAAAAAUAAAUAAACUCACACUACUAAAAUAAAAAAAAAAUUUUCUUUUUUUUUUGGGAAAAUUACUUUGUAGUCCCUGAGGUUUAACGUAAUUAACACCCUUUCUUCUUCUUCUUCUUCUUCUUCUUCUUCUUCUUCUGGAAUUUCACAUUGAAAGAAGGGUAUUUUUGGAAAAAAUUAUCACAUCUCACCUUUGACUCUUUGACCAAACGGUUUGAAUGGACGGAAGGACUACGAAUUUGGACAGAAGAGAAAGUGAGGGACUUAAGUGUUGGGUCGCCAAAAUAGAGGGACAGAAGUGUUAAUUACGUUAAACCUCAGGGACUACAAAGUAAUUUUCCUUUUUUUUUUAUAUAUAAAUAUAACUAAAUUUUUUUUUAUUUUUUUAAAAGAAACUAUAAGAUAAAUUGAAAUAAAAAAAUAAGAUAGAGUAAAAAAUAAAAAAAAACUUACGAAAUAAAUAAAUAUAAAUAAAUAGGAAUUUAUCUAUCACCGUGCUCUGAUACCAACUGAUGCGGAACCCAGGAUCAUGUGAUCAAAAACCCCGUCACACAACUUGAUAAAGAACAAGACAAAGAUAUCUUCCACAAGGUUGCUCUAUUACACCCCUGACCAACGAAUGUGAUUAGAAAUAUAGAUAAUCAAGCGAAGGUUGCUCUACCACACCCCUAACCAACCAAUGUGAUCAGAAACAUAGAUAAUCAAGCAAUUCCAGCUUCGAGAACGCCACAAGAAAUUCUUGAUAAGUUAACUAAGUAUGGAGGAGAUCCAUAUUAGAACGCUACAAGGUUAAACCUCGAUAAG
rnacentral:lncRNA from 1 species